AACUCACAGGAAUUGACGCAUGCCCGCACAAGCGGAGGAACAUGUGUUCAAUUCGAUGAUACGCGAGGAACGUACAUGGGCUUAAAUGUAGAAUGCAUAGAUUGGCAACAGUCCAGUUCUUCGGAACUUGUUACAAGCUGCUGCAUGGUUGUCGUCAGCUCGUGCCGUGAGCUGUCGCAUUAAGUCCCAUAACGAGCGCAACCCCUAUCGUUAGNUGCUAGCAGGUAAUGCUGAGGACUCUAGCGAGACUGCCACCGUAAGGUGAGAGGAAGGUGGCGAUGACGUCAAAUCAGCACGGCCCGUAUGUCCAGGGCUACACACGUGUUACAAUGGUCGGUACAAAGCGCAGCUACCUGGUGACAGGAUGCCAAUCCCUAAAGCCGAUCCCAGUUCGGAUUAGAGUCGUGCAACCCGACUCCAUGAAGCUGGAUUCGCUAGUAAUCGCGCAUCAGCCAUGGCGCACUGAAUACGUUCCCGCGCNUUGUACACACCGCCCGCAAACCAUGAAGC
rnacentral:rRNA from 1 species